CUAGUCAGAUGAUCUGGACGAAGUCUGAUCCAGCCAUGCCGCGUGCGUGAUGACGGCCCUAGGGUUGUAAACCUCUUUUUAUAGGGAAGAAAAUGACUGUACCUGUAGGAAAUUGACGGGACUGUACCAAUAAGGAUCGGCUAACUCUGUGCCAGCA
rnacentral:rRNA from 1 species